GCCCUUGAGUUUGAUCCUGGCUCAGGAUGAACGCUAGCGGCAGGCUUAACACAUGCAAGUCGAGGGGCAGCGGGAGUAGCAAUACUUGCCGGCGACCGGCGCAAGGGUGCGUAACGCGUGAGCAACAUGCCCGUAUCAGGGGGAUAAUCCAGGGAAACUUGGUCUAAUACCGCAUAAUGAUUCCGGAAGGCAUCUUUUGGGAUUUAAAAUUUCGAUGGAUACGGAUUGGCUCGCGUGACAUUAGCUGGAUGGAGAGGUAACGGCUCACCAUGGCUACGAUGUCUAGGGGUUCUGAGAGGAAGGUCCCCCACACUGGAACUGAGACACGGUCCAGACUCCUACGGGAGGCAGCAGUGAGGAAUAUUGGACAAUGGAUGGAAAUCUGAUCCAGCCAUGCCGCGUGCAGGAAGACGGCCCUAUGGGUUGUAAACUGCUUUUGUAUGGGAGCAAUAAGGGUUACGAGUAGCCUGAUGAGAGUACCAUACGAAUAAGGACCGGCUAACUCCGUGCCAGCAGCCGCGGUAAUACGGAGGGUCCGGGCGUUAUCCGGAUUUAUUGGGUUUAAAGGGUGCGUAGGCGGUUUUAUAAGUCAGCGGUGAAAUUUUCCGGCUCAACCGGGAUACUGCCGUUGAUACUGUAAGGCUAGGAUAUGGUUGCUGUGGGUGGAAUGUGUGGUGUAGCGGUGAAAUGCUUAGAGAUCACACAGAAUAUCGAUUG
rnacentral:rRNA from 1 species